rnacentral:rRNA from 1 species
UACAGAGGGUGCAAGCGUUUAAUCGGAAUUACUGGGCGUAAAGGGUGCGUAGGUGGUUUAUUAAGUUAUGUGUGAAAACCCUGGGCUUAACCUAGGAAUUGCAUAUAAAACUAAUAAGCUAGAGUGCAGUAGAGGGAAGUGGAAUUUCCAGUGUAGCGGUGAAAUGCGUAGAUAUUGGAAGGAACAUCAGUGGCGAAGGCGACUUCCUGGACUGUUACUGACACUGAGGCACGAAAGCGUGGGGAGCGAACAGG